rnacentral:rRNA from 1 species
AGAGUUUGAUCCUGGCUCAGGACGAACGCUGGCGGCGCGCCUAACACAUGCAAGUCGAACGAGCGAGAGAGAGCUUGCUUUCUCAAGCGAGUGGCGAACGGGUGAGUAACGCGUGAGGAACCUGCCUCAAAGAGGGGGACAACAGUUGGAAACGACUGCUAAUACCGCAUAAGCCCACGGGUCGGCAUCGACCAGAGGGAAAAGGAGCAAUCCGCUUUGAGAUGGCCUCGCGUCCGAUUAGCUAGUUGGUGAGGUAAUGGCCCACCAAGGCAACGAUCGGUAGCCGGACUGAGAGGUUGAACGGCCACAUUGGGACUGAGACACGGCCCAGACUCCUACGGGAGGCAGCAGUGGGGAAUAUUGCACAAUGGGGGAAACCCUGAUGCAGCGACGCCGCGUGGAGGAAGAAGGUCUUCGGAUUGUAAACUCCUGUUGUUGAGGAAGAUAAUGACGGUACUCAACAAGGAAGUGACGGCUAACUACGUGCCAGCAGCCGCGGUAAAACGUAGGUCACAAGCGUUGUCCGGAAUUACUGGGUGUAAAGGGAGCGCAGGCGGGAAGACAAGUUGGAAGUGAAAUCUAUGGGCUCAACCCAUAAACUGCUUUCAAAACUGUUUUUCUUGAGUAGUGCAGAGGUAGGCGGAAUUCCCGGUGUAGCGGUGGAAUGCGUAGAUAUCGGGAGGAACACCAGUGGCGAAGGCGGCCUACUGGGCACCAACUGACGCUGAGGCUCGAAAGUGUGGGUAGCAAACAGGAUUAGAUACCCUGGUAGUCCACACCGCAAACGAUGAUUACUAGGUGUUGGAGGAUUGACCCCUUCAGUGCCGCAGUUAACACAAUAAGUAAUCCACUGGGGGAGUACGACCGCAAGGUUGAAACUCAAAGGAAUUGACGGGGGCCCGCACAAGCAGUGGAGUAUGUGGUUUAAUUCGACGCAACGCGAAGAACCUUACCAAGUCUUGACAUCCCUUGACGAACAUAGAAAUAUGUUUUCUCUUCGGAGCAAGGAGACAGGUGGUGCAUGGUUGUCGUCAGCUCGUGUCGUGAGAUGUUGGGUUAAGUCCCGCAACGAGCGCAACCCUUACUGUCAGUUACUACGCAAGAGGACUCUGGCAGGACUGCCGUUGACAAAACGGAGGAAGGUGGGGAUGACGUCAAAUCAUCAUGCCCUUUAUGACUUGGGCUACACACGUACUACAAUGGCGUUAAACAAAGAGAAGCAAGACCGCGAGGUGGAGCAAAACUCAGAAACAACGUCCCAGUUCGGACUGCAGGCUGCAACUCGCCUGCACGAAGUCGGAAUUGCUAGUAAUCGUGGAUCAGCAUGCCACGGUGAAUACGUUCCCGGGCCUUGUACUCACCGCCCGUCA